GAUUAACGCUAGCGGUGCGCCUAACACAUGCAAGUCGAGCGCUCCGACGCAAGUCGGAGAGCGGCGAACGGGUGAGUAACACGUUGGUACCUGCCCCGAACUCAGGGAUAACCCGCCGAAAGGCGGGCUAAUACCGGAUGAUCCCGCAAGGGUAAAGUUUUUCGGUUCGGGAGGGGCCUGCGGCCUAUCAGCUAGUUGGUAAGGUAACGGCUUACCAAGGCUACGACGGGUAGCUGGUGUGAGAGCAUGACCAGCCACAAUGGAACUGAGACACGGUCCAUACUCCUACGGGUGGCUG
rnacentral:rRNA from 1 species